rnacentral:rRNA from 1 species
CCUACGGGCGGCAGCAGUGGGGAAUAUUGGACAAUGGGCGAAAGCCUGAUCCAGCCAUGCCGCGUGUGUGAAGAAGGCCUUCGGGUUGUAAAGCACUUUCAGUGGGGAAGAAAGCCUUGGGGCUAAUACCCUCGAGGAAGGACAUCACCCACAGAAGAAGCACCGGCUAACUCCGUGCCAGCAGCCGCGGUAAUACGGAGGGUGCGAGCGUUAAUCGGAAUUACUGGGCGUAAAGCGCGCGUAGGCGGUCUGAUAAGCCGGUUGUGAAAGCCCCGGGCUCAACCUGGGAACGGCAUCCGGAACUGUCAGGCUAGAGUGCAGGAGAGGAAGGUAGAAUUCCCGGUGUAGCGGUGAAAUGCGUAGAGAUCGGGAGGAAUACCAGUGGCGAAGGCGGCCUUCUGGACUGACACUGACGCUGAGGUGCGAAAGCGUGGGUAGCAAACAGGAUUUAGAUACCCCUGUAGUC